UUUGCCUUCCCGAGCUUCCUGGAGGAGGAUGUGGUCGAUGGGGCAGACACGUUUGACUCCUCGUUUUUCAGUAAGGAAGAAAUGAGCUCCAUGCCUGAUGAUGUCUUUGAGUCCCCCCCACUCUCUGCCAGCUACUUCCGAGGGAUCCCACACUCAGCCUCCCCUGUCUCCCCCGAUGGGGUGCAAAUCCCUCUGAAGGAGUAUGGCCGAGCCCCAGUCCCCGGGCCCCGGCGCGGCAAGCGCAUCGCCUCCAAGGUGAAGCACUUUGCCUUUGAUCGGAAGAAGCGGCACUACGGCCUCGGCGUGGUGGGCAACUGGCUGAACCGCAGCUACCGCCGCAGCAUCAGCAGCACUGUGCAGCGGCAGCUGGAGAGCUUCGACAGCCACCGGCCCUACUUCACCUACUGGCUGACCUUCGUCCAUGUCAUCAUCACGCUGCUGGUGAUUUGCACGUAUGGCAUCGCACCCGUGGGCUUUGCCCAGCACGUCACCACCCAGCUGGUGCUGCGGAACAAAGGUGUAUACGAGAGCGUGAAGUACAUCCAGCAGGAGAACUUCUGGGUUGGCCCCAGCUCGAUUGACCUGAUCCACCUGGGGGCCAAGUUCUCACCCUGCAUCCGGAAGGACCGGCAGAUCGAGCAGCUGGUGCUGCGGGAGCGAGACCUGGAGCGGGACUCAGGCUGCUGUGUCCAGAAUGACCACUCCGGAUGCAUCCAGACCCAGCGGAAGGACUGCUCGGAGACUUUGGCCACUUUUGUCAAGUGGCAGGAUGACACUGGGCCCCCCAUGGACAAGUCUGAUCUGGGCCAGAAGCGGACUUCGGGGGCUGUCUGCCACCAGGACCCCAGGACCUGCGAGGAGCCAGCCUCCAGCGGUGCCCACAUCUGGCCCGAUGACAUCACUAAGUGGCCGAUCUGCACAGAGCAGGCCAGGAGCAACCACACAGGCUUCCUGCACAUGGACUGCGAGAUCAAGGGCCGCCCCUGCUGCAUCGGCACCAAGGGCAGCUGUGAGAUCACCACCCGGGAAUACUGUGAGUUCAUGCACGGCUAUUUCCAUGAGGAAGCAACACUCUGCUCCCAGGUGCACUGCUUGGACAAGGUGUGUGGGCUGCUGCCCUUCCUCAACCCUGAGGUCCCAGAUCAGUUCUACAGGCUCUGGCUGUCUCUCUUCCUACACGCUGGGUAAGAGGCUCCUCACUGCCCCCGAACCCGACCCCUGUGAUGGCCACCCAGCUGGACCCCUGGGGAAAGGUUCCUGGGCCAGGGCAUGGCCGGCCCAACCUGCUGAAGCCUAAUGCUCCUGAAGUGCCUGGCUGAAGGCCGCUGCCUGGUGUGUCCCUCCCCCAGCGUGGUGCACUGCCUCGUGUCUGUGGUCUUUCAAAUGACCAUCCUGAGGGACCUGGAGAAGCUGGCCGGCUGGCACCGUAUCGCCAUCAUCUUCAUCCUCAGUGGCAUCACAGGCAACCUCGCCAGUGCCAUCUUUCUCCCAUACCGGGCAGAGGUGGGCCCGGCCGGCUCACAGUUCGGCCUCCUUGCCUGCCUCUUCGUGGAGCUCUUCCAGAGCUGGCCGCUGCUGGAGAGGCCCUGGAAGGCCUUCCUCAACCUCUCAGCCAUCGUGCUCUUCCUGUUCAUCUGCGGCCUCCUGCCCUGGAUCGACAACAUCGCCCACAUCUUCGGCUUCCUCAGUGGCCUGCUGCUGGCCUUCGCCUUCCUGCCCUACAUCACCUUCGGCACCAGCGACAAGUACCGCAAGCGGGCACUCAUCCUGGUGUCACUGCUGGCCUUUGCCGGCCUCUUUGCCGCCCUCGUGCUGUGGCUGUACAUCUACCCCAUUAACUGGCCCUGGAUCGAGCACCUCACCUGCUUCCCCUUCACCAGCCGCUUCUGCGAGAAGUAUGAGCUGGACCAGGUGCUGCACUGACCGCCGGGCCACGCGGCUGCCCCUCAGCCCUGCUGGAACAGGGUCUGCCUGCGAGGGCUGCCCUCUGCAGAGCGCUCUCUGUGUGCCAGAGAGCCAGAGACCCAAGACAGGGCCCGGGCUCUGGACCUGGGUCCCCCCCUGCCAGGCGAGGCUGACUCCACGUGAGAUGGUUGGUUAAGGCGGGGUUUUUCUGGGGCGUGAGGCCUGUGUGAUCCUGACCCAAGCUCAGGCACACCCAAGGCACCUGCCUCUCUGAGCCUUGGGUCUCAGUUCCUAAUAUCCCGCUCCUUGCUGAGACCAUCUCCUGGGGCAGGGUCCUUUUCUUCCCAGGGUCCUCAGCGCUGCCUCUGCUGGUGCCUUCUCCCCCACUACUACUGGAGCGUGCCCUUGCUGGGGACGUGGCUGUGCCCUCUGUUGCCCCCAGGGCUGGGUGCCCACCAUGCCCCUUCCUCUUUCUCCUCCUACCUCUGCCCUGUGAGCCCAUCCAUAAGGCUCUCAGAUGGGACAUUGUGGGAAAGGCUUUGGCCAUGGUCUGGGGGCAGAGAACAAGGGGGGAGACAUAAGUAGACCUCAGGUAGAACGGGACUGGGCGGAGCUACCCCAGGGCCUGCUCCCACGGGGUGCUCGAGGCGCAUCAGGCCCGUUUUUUACCAGUUUAUAUCACGGUCUUCAUUUUUAAAAGUAACGCUAACUUUGUAUGGACGAUGUCUCAUGGAUUAAAUAAUAUUCUUUAUGGCAGUACA
rnacentral:sRNA from 1 species